rnacentral:tRNA from 1 species
GCCUUGCCAGUAGGGUGGAUAUGACCUUCGACUUGUAAUCGAGCGGGCUCGGGUUCGAAUCCUGAAUAAGGCA